GGACAGGGAACGGGCACUUCUCUCAUUCUAUAAACAGCAACAGGAAUGGGCAUGUCCACUUCAUUGUACCCUUGAUGGAGGAGUGGGCCAAACUCUGCUAUUUGAAGGUGAACCUGACCAUCUCGUUCCAGCUGCAUCAGAGGUGCUUAUUGAGAGCAACCUCUUCCGGGUUACAGGAAGGAUGAUAGCCCACUCCUUUUUGCAUGAUGGCCCCCAUGUCACCGGAUUAAGUCCUGCUGUUAUUCAUGUACUGUUCAAUGGGGACCCUGAAAUGGCAACAAUUGUUGUCGAGGACUGUCCUGAUCUGCACAUCAGGAGUAUUAUAACAAUGCUUGAACUUGAAGAACUUACUCAGGAACAGAAGGACACAGUGUCAGA